rnacentral:tRNA from 3 species
GGGGCUGUAGCUCAAUUGGUAGAGCACCGCCUUUGCAAGGCGGGGGUCAGGGGUUCGAUUCCCCUCAGCUCCAC